rnacentral:rRNA from 1 species
GUUGUGGCCUUGAGCCGUGGCUUUCGGAGCUAACGCGUUAAGUAGACCGCCUGGGGAGUACGGUCGCAAGAUUAAAACUCAAAUGAAUUGACGGGGGCCCGCACAAGCGGUGGAGCAUGUGGUUUAAUUCGAUGCAACGCGAAGAACCUUACCUACUCUUGACAUCCAGAGAACUUUCCAGAGAUGGAUUGGUGCCUUCGGGAACUCUGAGACAGGUGCUGCAUGGCUGUCGUCAGCUCGUGUCGUGAGA